GUCUAGAUAGCUCAGGGGUAGAGCAAAGGAUUGAAAAUUCUUGGGACAAUGGUUCAAAUCCAUUUCUAGACA
rnacentral:tRNA from 1 species